rnacentral:tRNA from 1 species
UAGCCUAGUGGUUAAGGCUAUGGAUUGCUAAUCCGGAGACGGCGGGUUCGAUUCCCGU